GGCCAGCACGGCCCCCACACCGACACAGCCCCUGCCCGGGUCCGCGCUGACCCCGCGCCCCUCCCGGGAGAAGGAGGAAAUGAGUUUCCUGACCGGCAAUGUGUGCUCAGAGCCAGGACCUCCCUUUCCUAACAGAAGCAUUGGGGAAAACCAGCCUGUAUCCCCAGGGAUUCGUGAUGAGCCCACUUAGCUUUGGGAAGCUGUCCAGGACUUAACCCUUGGGUUUGGAACUUCAGCAGGGCUCAUGAGGGGAAGACUGGAGAUGUCCUUCCCUAACCUCCUGGGUGCCCAGAGCAAACACUCCUGCUCUGCUUUCAGUUCCUUAGAACAAAAACUGCUUCCCAGAUGGAUGUGACUUCUCAAGAGCUGAGGGAAACCCGAGGUUGCCCGGUGAGCCAGGAGCACAGCUUUGGAACAGAGAAGGGGUUGCCAGAGUGCGGAUGCUCUGAGUGCUGCUGUUUGACACGAGCUGCACAAGAAUCCCAGACUGGUGGGUGAAGGCCGUGCUGGCAGGACCAUGAGCAGAGUGAUGGGGACUGCGGGCACAUGGGCUCAAAACACGAGCUCUGCAUCCUCGGUGAGCUUCUCCUCUAGUCCUCGCUUGGUACGUUUUCUUUCUUUCUGAGGAGACCUCAGCUCCCUUUUCUCCUCUGGCAUCACUCUGGCAGGUAUCACUGGGGAGGCUGGGAGCUCCUGCCCAACGUGUGUGCAGGAGUGACCUUCCCCCCGGUGCCUCCGCCGGGCACCCGUCCAACCCGGGGCGAUGCUCGGCUGAUGGGAUCUGCCUUGGGCAGCUCACCACGAGGCUGCCUCAGAGACGUCUCUGUCGAGGCCAGCCAGAGCAGCAGAUGGUCUCUCAGGCAGCAUCUCCAUGAACCUGAGUGGUUGUGCUGUGAAAACAAACUGCCAUAAGCGGAUGUUGCUCAGCUUUGCUUCCGGCAUUGCUGCUCAACUUUCCUCAUGAGGAAUGGUGACCCUCUCCAAAGAAAGGGCAUAAAUCAUCACUUGGUUUUUCCUUUAACUCCUGGAUAUGCUGAGUCCUGUGUAAUAAAUUAUAUUGCUCACUGUAAAAGAAAAUCCAGAGGCAGCUCUGCCAGCCUCUUGAAUCCCUGAGUUGCAGGAUUCAGUUCAUCCCCAGGAACACAUUGGUUAAUGCAGUGAGAUGAGCCAUCAGGUUGCUCCACAGAUGAGCAAGGCAUUUAGGACACCAAAGCUGUUGGGAACACAUGGAUCCCAAGGCAGCCAUCCCAGCCCUGUCCCCUCCCAGAGAGGCUGAGGCAUGAGCUCAGCUUGGAGCAGGUACUUGAGCAGGUACCUCACUGCUCAGGGCUUGUCUGCACAGGAUUCUUAAGAAAGUUAAAUUGAAGCAACUAAAUCUAAAGUAGAGCAUUAAAAUUCUGUAUAAAACUCAUUCAGAAUUAAAGUGGCCUUAAUUCUGUUUAGUUUAGUCCCAAAUGUUACUAUAUAAGGCCAUUUAAAUUAUCUUUAAUUAACAUAAUGGUCCCACAUAGGCCAUUAUAAAUGAGGUUUAAUUAGCCCAUUUUUAGAAGCGAGUUAGCUGCCUUGAGCUUCCACAGGAACGCAGCCAGGGCCACUUUGCUGACGGGGCUCCUGGUUGAGGCUGGUUAGCAGGAGUUUCAUGGCACUGGCAUGUCUUCCCAAGGAACUGGCACGAGGUCAGCUUCCUCCCCGCCAGCAGAUAAUAAGAUUCUUGAAUAUCACCUAUUUUGACUGUGUUAAAUGUACGAGUGGGAGAUGAAAGGCUUUGCCAGGGGACGAGCUCUUCCUUUAAAAUCUGGGACAUGGGAGUGGUAAUCCUUAGAAAAAUCCCUAGAAAAAUGUGAUGUCAGGAUUUUAUGAGACUUGUUCAGGAGCAAGGAACCAGGCUGGAGAAAAGCUGACACUGAGUCAGCAGAGAAGUGGAUGGAGAUGGAGGACUGGGAGGGACUGAGCCCAUCCCUGGGACAGGGCUCCUCCUGUCACAGACCACCUCACUGUCCCCACUGCCUCUGGAUGCUUUGGUUCAUUUUUUACUUACUGGAAUUCUCAGCUCAGGAGGAUGAGAUGCUGCUGCCCUUGAUGCCCACCCUGAGGGCAUCCAGCCUGGGUCUCACAGGCUCCUCCCUGGAACAGCCCUGUGUUCUCUUGGGCUGUGCUGGGGAUUUCCACCUCUUUUCUUGUGGUCUCAGAGGCCUCGGAGGCACAAGCCCCGCUCAGCAGCCUGGCAGUGCCGGCUGAUGGUCCAU